GUUAAUCUCUUACUGUGCCUAAUUUAUAAAUGAAACUUUAUCAUAGGUGUGUCUGCACAGGAAAAAACAUGGUAUACGUAGGGUUUAGGGCUACCCAUGGUUUCAGGCAUCCACCGGGGGUCUUCGAAUGCAUCCCCCACCAGAUACGGGGGACUCCUGAAUUAGAAAUGUGUGCAAAUACAAUAAUGGAAGCCAAUAACAGGUCCAGAGGCAGUAAGGAAGAGAUAGUGAACCCCUUCUUCUGCAGGGAUUCUGGAAGCCCUCCUGGGGAAGAAGGCAUCUCACCUAUAUCUAAAAGGCUACAGACCUGGGUUCCUCGCACACCCACACGAUCUCACACUCCCUACCUUUCAUCAUGUCCGGGCAGGUCUCCGGUCUUGGGCUGGAAUAUGUUCCCACGCUUCGACUCCGAGGCCAACCCUACUCAUCUUUCAAAACUUAACCAGGAGGUACCUCCUGAAAGGCAUCCCUAACUACCCAGCAUGAGGAAGGAACCCCUUCUCACUGCACGUGUGUCCUUAUCAGACACUUACCAAAUGACUCACGAGACUGGAAGUCAGCGUUUUGCCCUAUUUAUCUUUGAGCGAUGGGGCAGGACUGAACACCACACCCAGUACACGGCCCCCAAUAAAUGUCUUAAAAAAAACCAACAACAGCGCUAGGGUAUAGUGCUACAUCAGACCCAUAGCAGAGAUGGCUUCUGAUCGCAUAAAGAACACACAUAUGGGAAGAAGAAAACUAACUGUCCCUCUGCCCUGCAUCAUUAGAAAAGAGGCUUCCUCUGGGAACACACAGCUCCUCAGGCGGCAGCUUAGCACCCAGACAGGACCUUUGUGCUCAUUAAGAAUGAAGGCCUCCAGGCUCCAGCAGCUCUGAACAAUCAGAGCAGAGAGGCUGGAUUCCAGCGCCGACCCACUCAGCGGGGUGGCCUUGUGCCGGGGAGGUACUGCUCCAAGACAGCCCUGCUGACCCAUGGAUGGACAAGAUAUAUUUCCUCCCAAGGAGCUGACAGUCUGUGCAAUUCAACAAUCAAGGAAACCCGCAUAGUUGACCUGGAUAUAAAUGCCUGGACAUUCUACUAUCGUUGUUUCCAGGACAGGAACCCCCACCGUGUAUGAUGGAUGAGACCAGGAGAUGGUGAGGAUCCCAUCCAAGGAUAAGAUUCAAAGAUUAAAAAUCUCUAAAUUUCAUGUUCAUCCGAAUGCUUUGAACCUUAAUCUCCCCUUUGUGCUGUCGUGUCAGUAUUUUGCAUUUUGGAGGGCAAUUAUUUGAAGAGGGACAAUCAAUGCUCUUCUAUUUCACCUA